CGGCUCCAAGUGUUUUGUUUUUGGUGGGAAACGGGUCCAAGUGGCUCUUUGAGUGUUUUGGGUUGCCUACCCCUGGAUUAGAUCUUGAUUUUGAGAUACAGCUCUCAGGUCUGAUGGCUCCUUCACUCUUAGUACUGGUCAACAUCAACUCUCUCCCCAUGGUGCAACUGGAGUCCUAAGUUUUCUCAUUUUGUAUUUAUAUUUUUAUUAUGCUUUUCUUUUGAUAUCGGAUUGUUGUGGAAAUUGGUGUGUGUUCACAUUUGCUGGUUCCUUCUGGAAUUGAUGUGAUUAGCAAACUGGUGAAUUUAGGGCUAAGAGUAUAUCUAAAAGUAUAGGAAAAUACAGAUACAAUCUCUGCUGAGUUCAGGAUGGAAAAGGUAGAUGUGUCAUGGUUCCGGUAGAUGAGACCAAUUAAAAGAACUUCAAGGCAAGGAAUUCUUCCUCAAAGAACAUUUUUAUUUGGUUACAAAAUAACAGCACUUACAAAGGUGAACCCAAGAGUAAAUUCGCCUCCCCUUGGUUACGAAAUUGCAAGUUGCAAAUCCCACCCCAAUUAAAUGUCAUUAAUCAUGUUCACCAAUUGUUAGAAAACACGGGCACUCCUCCCAGUUCUACAGCCCGACAAAAUGUUAGAGAAUGUUUUGGCUAACUGAGAAUUACACCCCCCCCUCCCUCCUUCUAUUCUAAAUAUGUGGCAACCAAAAACAAAGUGAAAAUGGCUUCAGUUGCAGCAUUGACAAAAUGUUUCAUGCUCUGGUGACAGAAAUCAGUUUGGAUUUGUAAGUAUGGUCUUUCUCCUCUAUUUUUUUUGAACAUCUUUUUUCUUUAACCUUUUUUUUUAAUUUGGACGUUUGGAAGAGAAUAUCUGUAGCUUGAAAUGAGAGGUCCUUGGUGCUCUCUGAGCUUGGUUGUUUUCUUGCAGAUGUUUCAUUAGCAAACCAAAUAAUACCAUCAGUGCUAGUGGGAUUUGCUCUCAUUUUAUAUCCUGGUGGCUUGAUCUGUCAGCAUUGGUAGGAGUUGUUUGGUGGUUCCUUGAUUGGGUUGGUAGCUUGAUUAGAGUAUUGUUUACAUCUUUAUUGUUGGUCUAAUGUCAAAAGAGCCAAUCAAAGAGCCAAAAAGGGAACAAAAAGACUAAAACAUCUCACUUGCAAUCAAAUACCCAGAUGAGCAAAGAUUAACACCAAGAUUAGCAUUAGACUAACAAUCUUUUCUGUUUUCUUCUCUAACUUUUGGAACAGCUGAAAUAAUAACAUUCCCUGGGAAUAUUUUUCAUUGUCCCCAAAUAAAUUGUAUGGGUGGUAGACAUUCUGAAGGCCUACAUGUCUUAGGCUUUUAUUGCCAUAAAACAGCUAAAAUUUUCGUAUUUUAAUAAGCAAUCAAAAUAUUUGCAACUGUUAUAAUAGUCAAUAUAUUUUUAACCUAAAUAAAUUAUUUAAACCUUUAUUAAGAUUUAGUCAGGUAAAGUUCUACUUUGGAUCACUUUUUACAUUUUCUUUCAGCAAUAGAUGGCAAUAAGUGAGAUUCGAAGGGGGCUGGGGGGAAUGGAUUUUGAUUUGUUUUGUAGAUCCUGUUAAUGCUUCUGAGUUCCCAGUCUAGUUUUCCUGUAGUCUGCAAAGUUUUUUUGCCCAUAAAUUUAACUUUCUAAAAAUUGGGGUGAAAUCCAGGUCCUUUAAAAUCCAUAGGCAAGGUGGGCUGCACUCUUGGGUUUUAACUCUAGCAAGAUCAUUUUGCAUAAAUUUCUGAUGAAAGGUUUGUUUUGGGUCUCUGCCUCAUGGUCUUCUAAUGCCAAACUGGCUGAGCAUGUCGCUAUUUGCAGGGCUUAACAGGCCUCAGUGAUAAAUGGGCCCCCAUCAUGCUUUGCCCCACACAUUGAAACCACUUCUGAAUCUUGGCACUUCUUUCUCCCAAAGCCAUUUUUACUUCUACAGGGUACAGAGAAGAAGGGAGGAAAACAGGCCUCACGCUUAGAGUUGCCAGCUAUCAAGAGUGACCAGGAAAGUACAGCACUUGGCUGACUUUAUGAGGAGGUUUCCAGGACAAUUUUCAUUUGGAUUGUGAACUCAACUGUUAUUGCUUCUCAUAAAAGAGGAAGUUCAUCCUCAGAGUUGCAUUCCAUCUUUUGCAACCAUACCCAUGAAUAGCUGAACCAAUCAAACAUGAUCCUGCGGAAAAUAUCUAUGGCUGAGUAUCACACCAAUUCAACUCUCACUUUGGAAAGUUGUAUUGCCUGACGGUUACAUAGCAGAGAUACACCUGUGCCUGCCCUCAUUGAUGCUUGCUAACAGUACCUAUGAAAGAAAAAAAAAAACAACCAAAACCUUUUUGCUCCUUUUCAAGAAAAUGCUGACCUAGUGGUUUCUCAGCAUAAAAUGCCUGGAGCUUCACAAUGUUAAACAAAUGAAAAUAAAGAAAUAUAAAAACAAAAUGAA